GGACAAGCUUUACAGGCACACGGUGGAUGCCUCGGCACCAGGAGCCGAUGAAGGACGUGGGAGGCUGCGAUAAGCCUGGGGGAGCUGCCAGCCGAGCUGUGAUCCCAGGAUCUCCGAAUGGGGAAACCCGGCCGGAGGGAAGUCCGGUCACCGCUGCCUGAACACAUAGGGCAGUCGGGGGGAACGCGGGGAAGUGAAACAUCUCAGUACCCGCAGGAAGAGAAAGCAAAAGCGAUUCCCGGAGUAGUGGCGAGCGAAACGGGAACACGGCUAAACCGAGCACGUGUCAAUAGCUGGCAGGCGUUGCGUGUUCGGGGUAGUGGGACCACCCAGUCGGGACUGCCAUCCCGACGGGAAGUUCCGUGUCGUUAGCCGAAGGUGCUGGAACGCACCAGCGAAGAGGGUGACACUCCCGUAGGCGAAAACGACCCGAACUUCCGGGUGGGAUCCCGAGUAGCACGGUACCCGUGGAAUUCCGUGUGAAUCCGCCAGGACCACCUGGUAAGCCUAAACACUCCCUGGUGACCGAUAGUGCAUGAGUACCGUGAGGGAAAGGUGAAAAGUACCCCGGGAGGGGAGUGAAAGAGUCCCUGAAACCGUGUGCCUACAAACCGUCAGAGCCUUCGGGUGAUGGCGUGCCUUUUGAAGAAUGAGCCUGCGAGUUGGGGUGUGUGGCGAGGUUAACCCGUCGAGGGGUAGCCGGAGCGAAAGCGAGUCUGAACAGGGCGUCGAGUCGCAUGCUCCAGACCCGAAGCGGGGUGAUCUACCCAUGGCCAGGGUGAAGCGCGGGUAAGACCGCGUGGAGGCCCGAACCCACCAGGGUUGAAAACCUGGGGGAUGAGCUGUGGGUAGGGGUGAAAGGCCAAUCAAACUCCGUGAUAGCUGGUUCUCCCCGAAAUGCAUUUAGGUGCAGCGUCACGUGUUGCUCAGGCGGGGUAGAGCUACUGGUUGGUUAAUGGGCCCUUCCCGGGUUACUGAGAUCAGCCAAACUCCGAAUACGCCUGAGUUCGAGCGUGGCAGUGAGACGAUGGGGGACAAGCUUCAUCGUCGAGAGGGAAACAGCCCAGAUCGCCGGCUAAGGUCCCCAAAUGCGCGCUUAGUGGGAAAGGAUGUGAAACCGCGCAGACAGCCAGGAGGUUGGCUUAGAAGCAGCCAUCCUUGAAAGAGUGCGUAAUAGCUCACUGGUCGAGUGGUUUUGCGCCGACAAUGUAGCGGGGCUCAAGCGCGCUACCGAAGCCGCGGCACUGCGUUUCGCAGUGGGUAGGGGAGCGUCGAGCGGGCAUUGAAGCGGUGGUGCAAACCAAUCGUGGAGCCCGUUCGAGUGAGAAUGCAGGCAUGAGUAGUGAAAGAGGAGUGAGAACCUCCUCCGCCGAAUGACCAAGGGUUCCAGGGGAAGGUCGUUCCGCCCUGGGUGAGUCGGAUCCUAAGGCGAGGCCGACAGGCGUAGCCGAUGGGCAACGGGUUGAUAUUCCCGUACCCGUGCAGAUGCGCUCACGGCGACCGCGGAUGCGCUAACUGCCCGGCGUGGUCUGGAAUUCGUUCCGGGCCGCGUCGCGUGGGACCCCGUCCGCCAGUAGCCGAGCGAUGGGGUGACGCAGAAGGGUAGCCCAACCCGGGCGAUGGUUGUCCCGGGGCAAGGGUGUAGGGCGGUGCGUAGGCAAAUCCGCGCACCACGUUCCUGAGACCUGAUGCCGAGCCUAAGCGGCGAAGUGGGUGAUCCCAUGCUGCCGAGAAAAGCCUCUAGCGAGUGUCUGCACGGUCCGUACCCGAAACCGACACAGGUGGUCAGGUAGAGAAUACCGAGGCGGACGGGUGAACCACGGUUAAGGAAUUCGGCAAAUUGCCCCCGUAACUUUGGGAGAAGGGGGGCCGGGUGGUGUGUACACCCUUCGCGGUGGAAGCACUGUCCGGCCGCAGAGGCCAGGCCCAAGCGACUGUUUACUAAAAACACAGGUCCAUGCGAAGCCGAAAGGCGAAGUAUAUGGACUGACGCCUGCCCGGUGCUGGAACGUUAAGGGGAGGGGUUAGCGGCUUCGGCCGUGAAGCUCUAAACCUAAGCGCCAGUAAACGGCGGUGGUAACUAUAACCAUCCUAAGGUAGCGAAAUUCCUUGUCGGGUAAGUUCCGACCUGCACGAAUGGCGUAACGACUUGGGCACUGUCUCAACCGUGGACCCGACGAAAUUGCACUACGAGUAAAGAUGCUCGUUUCGCGCGGCAGGACGGAAAGACCCCGGGACCUUUACUGCAGCUUGGCAUUGGCAUCUGGUUCGGCUUGUGUAGGAUAGGUGGGAGACUGGGAAGCCCGCACGCCAGUGUGGGUGGAGUCGCUGGUGAAAUACCACUCUGGUCGUACUGGGUGUCUAACCCAGGUCCGUGAUCCGGAUCGGGGACAGUGCCUGGUGGGCAGUUUAACUGGGGCGGUUGCCUCCUAAAAGGUAACGGAGGCGCCCAAAGGUUCCCUCAGCCUGGUUGGAAAUCAGGCGGUGAGUGUAAGGGCACAAGGGAGCUUGACUGUGAGACUGACGGGUCAAGCAGGUGCGAAAGCAGGGCCUAGUGAUCCGGCACUGGCUGGUGGAAGCGGUGUCGCUCAACGGAUAAAAGGUACCCCGGGGAUAACAGGCUGAUCUUGCCCAAGAGUCCAUAUCGACGGCAUGGUUUGGCACCUCGAUGUCGGCUCGUCGCAUCCUGGGGCUGGAGUCGGUCCCAAGGGUUGGGCUGUUCGCCCAUUAAAGCGGCACGCGAGCUGGGUUUAGAACGUCGUGAGACAGUUCGGUCCCUAUCCGCCGCGCGCGUAGGAGACUUGCGGGGAGCUGUCCCUAGUACGAGAGGACCGGGACGGACGAACCUCUGGUGUGCCAGUUGUCCUGCCAAGGGCACGGCUGGUUGGCCACGUUCGGAUCGGAUAACCGCUGAAAGCAUCUAAGCGGGAAGCCAGCCCCUAGAUGAGGUCUCCCUUCGGGUAACACCGAGUAAGGCCCCCAGCAGAUGACUGGGUUGAUAGGCCGGAAGUGGAAGCACGGCAACGUGUGGAGCUGACCGGUACUAAUAGGCCGAGCGGCUUGUCCAC
rfam:Saccharopolyspora rectivirgula strain DSM 43113 contig00017, whole genome shotgun sequence.